GUGGUGAACGCCACCAUCCUGCGGUUCCUAUGCAGCUCCGUAGCUCCUUCACUGAGCUCGGGUUCGGGAUCCUUUGUAUAGCCACAAACCUAUCGGAAUCCAUUUGCAGCGUGCCACCUCCGAUGAUAAACCCCAGGCACUGGGCCACCAAUCGCAGAUAUCGCAGAUGUGUCUGGAAGUCCGGGGCUAUCACCAAAAGAUCGUCCAGAUACACGAAAACGUUUGAUCUGAGCUGAGUCGGGAUUACCUUAUCCAUCAUUCUGCAUUACCUCUGGGCAGCGUUACACAGACCGAAGGGCAUCAAGCUAUAUAAGCAGGUCAACAACCUUGCACUUACUAGUGUCUAGUGUCUUACUGUGUCAAGUGUCAACAAUGAAUCAAAUGCACCAUUUGAUAUUGCCGUUUGUGCGCACUGUUAGCCAGGAGGAACUUUUGCAUGAGAUGGACGAUGGUGUGAUCAGCUUGAUCUCGAAUCUCCAGCAUUGUGCGAGUUCUCGUUUCGUAUUGAUCUAUGAUGAACUGCACGUAUAGUGGGCUAGAGGUGGAUCCAUCAAGUGGAAGCUGCUAGCGAUAGCAGCCUUUAACUUGGAUGGGUCUAACAUUCACUUUCUGCACUUGAAACUGGCCUUGGGAUCAAAAGAUGUCAUGGGCAGGGAUGCAAUAUACAAAAGUGUCUCCAUGGUGCUGGACAACAUUGAGGCAUAUGGAUACGGCCCGAGAUUGAUGGCCGCGCCGAAAAUUUGCUUGCAAAGAUGGACGCCGCCCAGAGGUACCCUAUGCUCUGGGAUGUCGCUCACCUGAGCAAGCUUUUGGCGAAGGAAUACGACGUGAUGGACACGGCCGACGAUUGGCGAUACGCGUUAUAUCCGUCUUUUCAUCAGGAGCAGGAGGAUAUACGGCACUGGCUUGGAAAGGAGGUGGAACAGAUGAAAAGGCUGGUUGGCCGGGUAUGCUCAUACCCGGAGACAGCAUAUAUAAGCAUAUAUAUUAUAUGUAUGUAAAGCAUGUAUAUAGAAUAUACG